rnacentral:rRNA from 1 species
CCUACGGGUGGCAGCAGUGGGGAAUAUUGGGCAAUGGAGGCAACCCUGAUGCAGCAACGCCGCGUGAGUGAAGAAGUUUUUCGGUUUGUAAAGCUCUGUCAGCAGGGACGAAAAUACCGAUGGCUCACCAAUAAUCACCCGCUGACUACUUGGCAGCAGCCGCCGUGAUAAUUCGUGGGCAAGCAGUGUCCGGAGUUACGGGGUGGAAAGGGGGCGGAGGAGGUGUUGUAAGUCGGGAGUGAAAGCCCGGGGCUCAACCUCGGGACUGCUUUUGACACUGUGUAACUGGAGUACAGGAGGGGCAGGUGGAAUUCCUGGUGUAGCGGUGAAAUGCGUAGAUAUUAGGAGGAACAUCAGCGGCGAAGGCGGCCUGCUGGACUGAAACUGACGCUGAGGCUCGAAAGCGUGGGGAGCAAACAGGAUUAGAUACCCGGGUAGUC